rnacentral:lncRNA from 1 species
AAAUUUCAACAAUGGCUUUCAUCAAUGCUUGAUAAGUCAAGGGCUAUUUUACAUGCCUCGAAUUAUGCCGCUGGUCGGUGUAAUAUCUCCCUCAUUGCUUCUAUAUAAAAGGUAAACAAAAUUCUCCUUCUAUACAUGAGUUUUCUUGCUUCGCAUGAGGAAAGUUUGAACGAACGGGCGGACAAAACGCUUCCGUUUGCCCUUCAUCCAUGAAAGGCAAAGCGUACAAACUUUGCAGGUGCUGGGCAGGCGGAUUGCUUGUUGAGAACUCGUCAGCUGAUUAGUUGUCCUCAAUAUAUACGAGAUAUUUGCGUGAUUGAUAUAUCGAAAACUAACAUCAUCUCUCGCAGGUACAUUUUUACUCCUUUCUCUGCCCCCAAGUUCUCUCCCCCAAGGAUGUCAUCCAUUAGAUGAUGAACACGUUAUUCACACUGUUUGACUGAGCGCACAACUGCGUUUCGGAAUGAACAUUUUACACUGAAAAUUCUGAUUUAAUGAGCCUGAUACAGAUGACACAUCCAUUAUCAUAUUCUUGUUGAUCAUUCGAUAUAUGUAUGAAGCCAUAUACUAAUGCGAACAUUGGCUUAGAUAUCUUUUUCGAUGUCCAUGUUUGACUGUUGUCCUGCUUUGCACCGCAUGCUUGGACUUAGUCUGCAUCCUUCUUUCAUAG